GGACGAACGCUGGCGGCGUGCUUAACACAUGCAAGUCGAACGGGGGUUACAUUGAAACCUAGUGAAAUGUAACCUUAGUGGCGGACGGGUGAGUAACGCGUGGAUAACCUGCCUAUCUGACCGGGACAACACCUGGAAACGGGUGCUAAUACCGGAUACGCUCAUAGAUUCAGAAGAAUAGAUGAGGAAAGGGGAAACCCGCAGACAGAUGGGUCCGCGUCCCAUUAGCUAGUUGGAGGUGUAAGAGACCCCCAAGGCGACGAUGGGUGGCCGGCCUGAGAGGGUGAACGGCCACACUGGAACUGAGACACGGUCCAGACUCCUACGGGAGGCAGCAGUGGGGAAUCUUCCGCAAUGGGCGCAAGCCUGACGGAGCAACGCCGCGUGAGUGAAGAAGGCCUUCGGGUUGUAAAACUCUGUCAUCAGGGAAGAAGAAAGUGACGGUACCUGAGGAGGAAGCCCCGGCUAACUACGUGCCAGCAGCCGCGGUAAAACGUAGGGGGCGAGCGUUGUCCGGAAUUACUGGGCGUAAAGGGCGCGUAGGCGGUUAUCCAAGUCAGGGGUGAAAACCUUGGGCUCAACUCAGGGCCUGCCUCUGAAACUGGGUAACUUGAGGGCAGGAGAGGGGAGUGGAAUUCCCAGUGUAGCGGUGAAAUGCGUAGAUAUUGGGAGGAACACCAGUGGCGAAGGCGGCUCUCUGGCCUAACCCUGACGCUGAGGCGCGAAAGCGUGGGGAUCAAACAGGAUUAGAUACCCUGGUAGUCCACGCCGUAAACGAUGGGUGCUAGGUGUAGGAGGUAUCGACCCCUUCUGUGCCGUAGUUAACACAAUAAGCACCCCGCCUGGGGAGUACGGCCGCAAGGUUGAAACUCAAAGGAAUUGACGGGGGCCCGCACAAGCGGUGGAGCAUGUGGUUUAAUUCGACGCAACGCGAAGAACCUUACCAGGGUUUGACAUCCUCUGACAACCUAUGAAAGUAGGUAUUCUAUCUUCGGAUAGACAGGGAGACGGGUGGUGCAUGGUUGUCGUCAGCUCGUGUCGUGAGAUGUUGGGUUAAGUCCCGCAACGAGCGCAACCCUUACGUUUAGUUGCUAACACGUGAAGGUGGGGACUCUAGACGAACUGCCGUUGACAAAACGGAGGAAGGUGGGGAUGACGUCAAAUCAUCAUGCCCCUUAUAUCCUGGGCUACACACGUGCUACAAUGGCCGGUACAAAGGGAAGCGAAGCCGCGAGGCGGAGCCAAUCCUAAAAAGCUGGCCUCAGUUCAGAUUGCAGUCUGCAACUCGACUGCAUGAAGUUGGAGUUGCUAGUAACCGCAGGUCAGCAAUACUGCGGUGAAUACGUUCCCGGG
rnacentral:rRNA from 1 species